rnacentral:rRNA from 1 species
AACGUAGGGGGCGAGCGUUAUCCGGAAUUACUGGGCGUAAAGGGCUCGUAGGCGGCCAACUAAGUCAGACGUGAAAUCCCUCGGCUUAACCGGGGAACUGCGUCUGAUACUGGAUGGCUAGAGUUUGGGAGAGGGAUGCGGAAUUCCAGGUGUAGCGGUGAAAUGCGUAGAUAUCUGGAGGAACACCGGUGGCGAAGGCGGCAUCCUGGACCAACACUGACGCUGAGGAGCGAAAGCCAGGGGAGCAAACGGG